GACGAACGCUGGCGGCGUGCUUAACACAUGCAAGUCGAACGGAAAGGCCCUGCUUUUGUGGGGUGCUCGAGUGGCGAACGGGGGAGUAACACGUGAGUAACCUGCCCUUGACUUUGGGAUAACUUCAGGAAACUGGGGCUAAUACCGGAUAUGAGCUCCUGCUGCAGGGUGGGGGUUGGAAAGUUUCGGCGGUGGGGGAUGGACUGGCGGCUUAUCAGCUUGUUGGUGGGGUAGUGGCUUACCAAGGCUUUGACGGGUAGCCGGCCUGGGAGGGUGACCGGCCACAUUGGGCCUGAGAUACGGCCCAGACUGCUACGGGAGGCAGAAGUGGGAAAUAUUGCACAAUGGGCGGACGCCUGAUGCAGCGACGCCGCGUGCGGGAUGCCGGCCUUCGGGUUGUAAACCGCUUUCGCCUGUGACGAAGCGUGAGUGACGGUAAUGGGUAAAGAAGCACCGGCUAACUACGUG
rnacentral:rRNA from 1 species